rnacentral:lncRNA from 1 species
CGUCCGGCCUCACCGGAGCUCCGCCCGCUCUCCCGACCUCUUGCUGCCCCCAACCCUCUCUCUUUCUCUCUGUUUUGCAGCUGAUCUAGCAAACUCGCGAGUGGGUUUCCAGCCCCUUUCGGGCUAGUUUUGGGCUGUUUCCGGGCCCCGAACCCGAGCCAUGCUUUGGGAAGAAUUGUUCCUCGCGUCGCCCCCGUCGGAUUGAUCCGAUUUGCGCGCGAUUUGG